rnacentral:rRNA from 1 species
GAUGAACGCUGGCGGCGUGCCUAAUACAUGCAAGUCGAGCGAACGGACGAGAAGCUUGCUUCUCUGAUGUUAGCGGCGGACGGGUGAGUAACACGUGGAUAACCUACCUAUAAGACUGGGAUAACUUCGGGAAACCGGAGCUAAUACCGGAUAAUAUUUUGAACCGCAUGGUUCAAAAGUGAAAGACGGUCUUGCUGUCACUUAUAGAUGGAUCCGCGCUGCAUUAGCUAGUUGGUAAGGUAACGGCUUACCAAGGCAACGAUGCAUAGCCGACCUGAGAGGGUGAUCGGCCACACUGGAACUGAGACACGGUCCAGACUCCUACGGGAGGCAGCAGUAGGGAAUCUUCCGCAAUGGGCGAAAGCCUGACGGAGCAACGCCGCGUGAGUGAUGAAGGUCUUCGGAUCGUAAAGCUCUGUUAUUAGGGAAGAACAUAUGUGUAAGUAACUGUGCACAUCUUGACGUUACCUAAUCAGAAAGCCACGGCUAACUACGUG